UAUCCUUGUUUGCCAGCACUUCGGGUGGGAACUCCAGGGAGACUGCCGGUGAUAAACCGGAGGAAGGUGGGGACGACGUCAAGUCAUCAUGGCCCUUACGAGUAGGGCUACACACGUGCUACAAUGGCAUAUACAGAGGGCAGCAAGACCGCGAGGUGGAGCGAAUCCCAGAAAGUAUGUCGUAGUCCGGAUCGGAGUCUGCAACUCGACUCCGUGAAGUCGGAAUCGCUAGUAAUCGUGGAUCAGAAUGCCACGGUGAAUACGUUCCCGGGCCUUGUACACACCC
rnacentral:rRNA from 1 species